rnacentral:rRNA from 1 species
UGGGGAAUAUUGCACAAUGGGCGCAAGCCUGAUGCAGCCAUGCCGCGUGUAUGAAGAAGGCCUUCGGGUUGUAAAGUACUUUCAGCGGGGAGGAAGGGAGUAAAGUUAAUACCUUUGCUCAUUGACGUUACCCGCAGAAGAAGCACCGGCUAACUCCGUGCCAGCAGCCGCGGUAAUACGGAGGGUGCAAGCGUUAAUCGGAAUUACUGGGCGUAAAGCGCACGCAGGCGGUUUGUUAAGUCAGAUGUGAAAUCCCCGGGCUCAACCUGCGAACUGCAUCUGAUACUGGCAAGCUUGAGUCUCGUAGAGGGGGGUAGAAUUCCAGGUGUAGCGGUGAAAUGCGUAGAGAUCUGGAGGAAUACCGGUGGCGAAGGCGGCCCCCUGGACAAAGACUGACGCUCAGGUGCGAAAGCGUGGGGAGCAAACAGG